AUCAGAUUCACUUGAGGGACUUGUUAUAGCACAGAUUACCACUUUUGGAUUCCGUGGAUCUGAGUGGGACUGACAUUCUGCCUUUCUAACAAGUCCCCCAGUGAAGCUGAU
rnacentral:pre_miRNA from 1 species